rnacentral:sRNA from 1 species
AAGUGAGAUCACACUAGGCAUCUGACUUAGGAAUGUCUAUCCAACUUAUCUAUAGGAUACAAUGGUCUGCACUCAGUCAAAGAGGAUGACCACCCUCUGGAGAGGAGGACUGUUUCCUCGGUCAAGGUUAUAAAAGUAGCUACACUUCCCAGCUAGAACCUCCAAACAAGAGCUCAAAACACAAUGAUCUGGGGCCAGGGAUUUAGCUCAGUGGUUCUGCCACCUGCCUCUGAAGUGCAAG